rnacentral:misc_RNA from 1 species
UUUGAGUUGCAACGAGUGUUG